rnacentral:rRNA from 1 species
CAGCCGCCGCGGUAAUACGUAGGUGGCAAGCGUUGUCCGGAAUUAUUGGGCGUAAAGCGCGCGCAGGCGGAUAGGUCAGUCUGUCUUAAAAGUUCGGGGCUUAACCCCGUGAUGAGAUGGAAACUGCCAAUCUAGAGUAUCGGAGAGGAAAGUGGAAUUCCUAGUGUAGCGGUGAAAUGCGUAGAUAUUAGGAAGAACACCAGUGGCGAAGGCGACUUUCUGGACGAAAACUGACGCUGAGGCGCGAAAGCCAGGAGAGCGAACGGGAUUAGAUACCCCUGUAGUCCCUGUCUCUUAUACA